rnacentral:sRNA from 1 species
GCCAGGCAUGGUGGCACACGCCCGUAAUCCCAGCUACUUGGGAGGCUAAAGCAGGAGGAUCACAAGUUCAAGGCCAGCCUGGGCAAUUUAGUGAGACUCUGUUUCAA